GUUUAAGCACUCACACCACAGACUAAAUAUACACAAAUAUCUGGAAAUGUCAGAGGAGGUAAAUCGUCGGGGUCUCGAGUACAUUCUCUUGCAGGCACCUCAUACGGAUCCAGAUUUCCGAUCAAUGCCAUCUUUUCCAGAAGCUGCAUCUGAAGAGGCAUUUAGAUAAGUCCACGCGAGAGGAUACUCCAUCAUCGAAUGUGACGGAGAACAGUAACGAGGGUGUUUACAAAAUGAAAAUGUACUAAAAGAAUUACAGAUGAGCACAUCACAACAUGAACAGACAUCUGAGUGAGAGAUGAAUGUGUGCUAUUAUAGUAGAAUUCACUGUUGUCAACACUGCUUUAGAUGGAUGUAAGGGACAGAUGAGACACACGAGUACUUCUGCAGAGUGCAGGGUGACUGAUGAAGGAAUGCUGCCAUCAAAGGCUCUCAGCGAAGCUUUUGUGGUGGAGCAGGUGACAGUGGCAUUUGUGGAAAAAAAGGGAAAACUUCAAAUAAAAAUAUAAAGAUCUGAAAUGUCUGCAGGCUGGUGUGAGCAGUGAGGAAGUUCACAUGAUCAUCCUAGAAAUGGUCCAGUGCCAUGGAUGAGACACUCCAUCACUCCACCUGCCCUCAUCUGUCUCAUCUGGACUGGAUGCUGCUGUGGUCUCUUCAUCCUCAGUGACCCCAGAGCCAGGACCCCCAAUCCCCCUGCAGCAACCUGGAGUAAGAAGGCUUGAUCAAGGACACAUGUCUGGUGGUGACGACUGUGGAGAUCGACCAACCUUCUGCUAACCAGUUCAGCCCACUACACCACAGAAGGAGUUGUGCUCGUGGAGAGCAGGCACACAGAUGUUUGGAGCAGACACAGCAGUAGUCAAAUUGUCCGGCACAUGUUCUCCUGCUCUUGUUCAAGGUUGUGUGGUUCAGGGGCGUCAUCAUGGUCUUCCUCAUCCUCUCUGUGUACUCGGGCAAAGACAGCUUCGAUGUCCCUUUUCCAUCCAUGAUCAGAUUCAGUCUGACUGCAGCAGUGAGGGUUCUGAUGGACAGCAGAGACAGGUGAAGGUGGACACGGUGGUCAGCUGCUUCAUCAGAAUAAAGCUGCAGAAUUGGCACAGCUGUGUUGAAAUGGAAGUAGGAUGUGGGGUUCACCGUCUGUAAAUACAUGAUUGUUGGAACAAUGUUUGAAUAAAGCUUUGUUUCAUGUGUUGUUGACUUGGUAUUUAUUUAUUUUCAUGGUUACUUUUAUUCAUUAUUUUAAUCAUUUAUUCAUGUUUCCUUUCGUUGUCAGUAAAUAAAAUAUAAUUGUUUCAUUAACUUAUGCAUUAAUUCAUUACUUGACUGAAAAUUGAGAUGUAUUCACUUUGGCUGCAUUUGUCUAGUGUGUCUUUAUUAUUACUGCAGAACUUUUAA